GACGAACGCUGGCGGCGUGCUUAACACAUGCAAGUCGAACGGAAAGGCCCUGCUUUUGUGGGGUGCUCGAGUGGCGAACGGGUGAGCAACACGUGAGUAACCUGCCCUUGACUUUGGGAUAACUUCAGGAAACUGGGGCUAAUACCGGAUAGGAGCUCCUGCUGCAUGGUGGGGGUUGGAAAGUUUCGGCGGUUGGGGAUGGACUCGCGGCUUAUCAGCUUGUUGGUGGGGUAGUGGCUUACCAAGGCUUUGACGGGUAGCCGGCCUGAGAGGGUGACCGGCCACAUUGGGACUGAGAUACGGCCCAGACUCCUACGGGAGGCAGCAGUGGGGAAUAUUGCACAAUGGGCGGAAGCCUGAUGCAGCAACGCCGCGUGCGGGAUGACGGCCUUCGGGUUGUAAACCGCUUUCGCCUGUGGCGAAGCGUGAGUGACGGUAAUGGGUAAAGAAGCACCGGCUAACUACGUG
rnacentral:rRNA from 1 species